CCCGCCGGACCUGACUGCUAUCGGAUUGAUACUAAGCCAUGCGGGUCUUUGUAGCAAUACAAGGCAGACGGCUCAGUAACACGUAGUCAAUCUACCCUAUGGACGGGGAUAACCUCGGGAAACUGAGAAUAAUACCCGAUAGAUCAUUAUGCCUGGAAUGGUUUAUGGUCGAAAUGAUUUAUCGCCGUAGGAUGGGACUGCGGUCUAUCAGCUUGUUGGUGAGGUAAUGGCCCACCAAGGCUAUAACAGAUACGGGCUCUGAGAGGAGAAGCCCGGAGAUGGGUACUGAGACACGGACCCAGGCCCUAUGGGGCGCAGCAGGCGAGAAAACUUUGCAAUGUGCGAAAGCACGACAAGGUUAAUCCGAGUGUUUUCUGCUAAAGAAAUCUUUUGUCAGUCCUAAAAACACUGAUGAAUAAGGGGUGGGCAAGUUCUGGUGUCAGCCGCCGCGGUAAAACCAGCACCUCAAGUGGUCAGGAGGAUUAUUGGGCCUAAAGCAUCCGUAGCCGGCCGUGUAAGUUUUCGGUUAAAUCUAUACGCUCAACGUAUAGGCUGCCGGGAAUACUGCACAGCUAGGGAGUGGGAGGGGUAGACGGUACUCGGUAGGAAGGGGUAGAAUCCUUUGAUCUAUUGAUGACCACCUGUGGCGAAGGCGGUCUACUAGAACACGUCCGACGGUGAGGGAUGAAAGCUGGGGGAGCAAACCGGAUUAGAUACCCGGGUAGUCCCAGCUGUAAACAAUGCAAACUCAGUGAUGCACUGGCUUGUGGCCAGUGCAGUGCCGCAGGGAAGCCGUUAAGUCUGCCGCCUGGGAAGUACGUACGCAAGUAUGAAACUUAAAGGAAUUGGCGGGGGAGCACCACAA
rnacentral:rRNA from 1 species